UAGCUGACAUUUGCGGAAUCAUUGCAGAAUUUAUUGAUUGAGCGUUAAUAAUAUUUGUAGAAGACACUAUACAACUCGAUAAUUCUUCUACUAACGUUAACUUCCUAACAGGUAUUUUUAAUUCACUCAAAACUCUGAUCAAUUGAAACAGGUUUACAUUAUCAUAUGCACCCUCAACAUCCAGAAAUACACAUAUUGCAUUAGAGUGAGCCAAGAUAGAAUUUUUGAUGUCAGCAAUGAAUGAAACGAAGCCUUCAACUGCACUUUUACCUUUUCUGAAACCUAGUUGAUAAUCAGGUGGACAAUAUACACAUAGAAUAGUUAGAGGACCGACUUUUGUAUCAACAGAAAUAGCAAUCGUUUGAACAUCUUGGAAAUUUGGAGUUGAAAGUUGGACAUAUUUUAUAGAACUUUUAUUUAAAAAGGCUACACCACCAUGUUUAUUUUCAGCAUUUUUAAAAAUAAAAUCAUACCCAGGCAUGUGAAAGUGUGACUGGGAACUUUUUAA